rnacentral:rRNA from 1 species
GACGAACGCUGGCGGCGUGCUUAACACAUGCAAGUCGAACGGAAAGGCCCUGCUUUUGUGGGGUGCUCGAGUGGCGAACGGGUGAGUAACACGUGAGUAACCUGCCCUUGACUUUGGGAUAACUUCAGGAAACUGGGGCUAAUACCGGAUAGGAGCUCCUGCUGCAUGGUGGGGGUUGGAAAGUUUCGGCGGUUGGGGAUGGACUCGCGGCUUAUCAGCUUGUUGGUGGGGUAGUGGCUUACCAAGGCUUUGACGGGUAGCCGGCCUGAGAGGGUGACCGGCCACAUUGGGACUGAGAUACGGCCCAGACUCCUACGGGAGGCAGCAGUGGGGAAUAUUGCACAAUGGGCGGAAGCCUGAUGCAGCAACGCCGCGUGCGGGAUGACGGCCUUCGGGUUGUAAACCGCUUUCGCCUGUGACGAAGCGUGAGUGACGGUAAUGGGUAAAGAAGCACCGGCUAACUACGUGCCAGCAGCCGCGGUGAUACGUAGGGUGCGAGCGUUGUCCGGAUUUAUUGGGCGUAAAGGGCUCGUAGGUGGUCGAUCGCGUCGGAAGUGUAAUCUUGGGGCUUAACCCUGAGCGUGCUUUCGAUACGGGUUGACUUGAGGAAGGUAGGGGAGAAUGGAAUUCCUGGUGGAGCGGUGGAAUGCGCAGAUAUCAGGAGGAACACCAGUGGCGAAGGCGGUUCUCUGGGCCUUUCCUGACGCUGAGGAGCGAAAGCGUGGGGAGCGAACAGGCUUAGAUACCCUGGUAGUCCACGCUGUAAACGGUGGGUACUAGGUGUGGGGUCCAUUCCACGGGUUCCGUGCCGUAGCUAACGCUUUAAGUACCCCGCCUGGGGAGUACGGCCGCAAGGCUAAAACUCAAAGGAAUUGACGGGGCCCCGCACAAGCGGCGGAGCAUGCGGAUUAAUUCGAUGCAACGCGUAGAACCUUACCUGGGUUUGACAUGGAUCGGGAGUGCUCAGAGAUGGGUGUGCCUCUUUUGGGGUCGGUUCACAGGUGGUGCAUGGCUGUCGUCAGCUCGUGUCGUGAGAUGUUGGGUUAAGUCCCGCAACGAGCGCAACCCUUGUUCACUGUUGCCAGCACGUUAUGGUGGGGACUCAGUGGAGACCGCCGGGGUCAACUCGGAGGAAGGUGGGGAUGACGUCAAGUCAUCAUGCCCCUUAUGUCCAGGGCUUCACGCAUGCUACAAUGGCUGGUACAGAGAGUGGCGAGCCUGUGAGGGUGAGCGAAUCUCGGAAAGUCGGUCUCAGUUCGGAUUGGGGUCUGCAACUCGACCUCAUGAAGUCGGAGUCGCUAGUAAUCGCAGAUCAGCAACGCUGCGGUGAAUACGUUCCCGGGGCU